rnacentral:rRNA from 1 species
AUUGAACGCUGGCGGCAUGCCUUACACAUGCAAGUCGAACGGUAACGGGCCUUCGGGUGCCGACGAGUGGCGAACGGGUGAGUAAUACAUCGGAACGUGCCCGAUCGUGGGGGAUAACGAGGCGAAAGCUUUGCUAAUACCGCAUACGAUCUACGGAUGAAAGCAGGGGACCGCAAGGCCUUGCGCGGACGGAGCGGCCGAUGGCAGAUUAGGUAGUUGGUGGGAUAAAAGCUUACCAAGCCGACGAUCUGUAGCUGGUCUGAGAGGAUGAUCAGCCACACUGGGACUGAGACACGGCCCAGACUCCUAAGGGAGGCAGCAGUGGGGAAUUUUGGACAAUGGGCGCAAGCCUGAUCCAGCCAUGCCGCGUGCAGGAUGAAGGCCUUCGGGUUGUAAACUGCUUUUGUACGGAACGAAAAGCCUUCUUUUAAUACAGGAGGGUCAUGACGGUACCGUAAGAAUAAGCACCGGCUAACUACGUG